AACAAAAUGCUUCAUGUGGAAUUUCCAUUAGGUACCAAACAACAGUUCUCCAACAAUGCAGUCCACGAGUCCAUAGAGCAUUUUGUUCAAGAUUUCAUAUAUGCACUUGAUUUUAUAUAUGAGAACAAAAUUCUUCAAGAGUAGAGAAAGUUCAUAGAGUAUAUCUCUUAGUUCAAAACACACACUAUAAUACUAGAACCACUGAGAGUUCUCCAACAAUACUUUAUGAACAGGUCUAAGAGUUCAUCGAGUUCUUAGUCCAGGAAUACUUUAUGAACAUGUCCAAGAGUUCAUAUAGUUCUCAGUUCAAAGUUACCAAACUGUAGUACUGAGGCCAAUAAAGCAUUGGAGUUGUUCAGAAGCAGCCUGGGCACAAGUCCAAAAAAGUUUAUACAAUAUAUCCCUCAUUUUGAACUACUAUCACAAAAAUCGGACAUAACUAGACGGAGGGACUUGCUUCAACCCUAACUUCUAUGUUGUCUCCUUUCUUAUCAAACGAACAGACUGAUUGUACAUAGGGCUUCAUUGGAAAUAAACCGGCAUGCCCUCCAGUCUGCGAGCGGGUUGGACUAGCUCCAGGGGCCCAUUCGGCGCCAGUUGCUCCCUGCAUUUAAUCAUAACAAGUCAUGAGUUCCCAUAACAAGUUCAAACACGUUCUACGUGACUUGCACAAUCAGUUUCAUAUUUGUGUAACCAAGCAAGUUCAUGUGUAGUAACAUUAGAAGUUCCCAAAGAAACCUAAAAAGAUUUCUACACUUUGAAAUACUUCAUUUUUACUUCCCAAAUACUUCAUUUAUUUUGAAAUAUGAACUUCUACAUUUAUUUCCUUAGAACUUGUUAUCUUUUUCCUAUGAAUUCCAUGGGUUUUGUGUAUCAUUAUUUUUGUUUAUCUUGUUUUCUAUUUUUCUAUGAACUUAUAGGGUUAUACAUGUUGAACUCAUAGACCAGCGGCACUUGGAGGCAGGGGGUAGGCGGCGGCGGCGCGCUGAACUACGCCAAACAUUUUUUCUGCACCAGAUAGUGUGUCUGACAUGAUGCCAAGGUCCCACACAUGUUUUGCUAGAACAAGUUGAACUGAAUAUCUUUUAUUUUGAACUUUGAAAGAAGCUACAACUCCUGUUGCCCAAAUGUGAACAUAAUUUUAAGUUUUCCAAGCACAUACCUUCUGUUCUUGUUUGUUGACGGGCACGCCGCCCCUACUCCCGCAGACUGACGGGCACUGGCGAAGUGGAGUUGAAGGAGCAAGGAUCACCUUGCUUCCCAUUCAAUUGAGGAUUCAUGUGACACUUGCUUCCCAUUUUCAUCAGUAAUAGUACUAGUACGACUCAACAAUAAUUUCAGAAUUGUAGACGGCAUCCUUGUCAGUACGACUCAUCAGAACUAGUGCUCUUUUUUCCAAAAAAUUGUGUGUUAGAAUAGA
rnacentral:lncRNA from 1 species